CCGGAGCUUGCUCCACCGGAAAAAGAGGAGUGGCGAACGGGUGAGUAACACGUGGGUAACCUGCCCAUCAGAAGGGGAUAACACUUGGAAACAGGUGCUAAUACCGUAUAACAAUCGAAACCGCAUGGUUUUGAUUUGAAAGGCGCUUUCGGGUGUCGCUGAUGGAUGGACCCGCGGUGCAUUANCUAGUUGGUGAGGUAACGGCUCACCAAGGCCACGAUGCAUAGCCGACCUGAGAGGGUGAUCGGCCACAUUGGGACUGAGACACGGCCCAAACUCCUACGGGAGGCAGCAGUANGGAAUCUUCGGCAAUGGACGAAAGUCUGACCGAGCAACGCCGCGUGAGUGAAGAAGGUUUUCGGAUCGUAAAACUCUGUUGUUAGAGAANAACAAGGAUGANAGUAACUGUUCAUCCCUUGACGGUAUCUAACCAGAAAGCCACGGCUAACUACGUGCCAGCGAGCCGCGGUAAUACGUAGGUGGCAAGCGUUGUCCGGAUUUAUUGGGCGU
rnacentral:rRNA from 1 species